AGCAGCAGCCGCGGUAAUACGUAGGUGGCAAGCGUUAUCCGGAAUUAUUGGGCGUAAAGCGCGCGCAGGCGGUUUCUUAAGUCUGAUGUGAAAGCCCACGGCUCAACCGUGGAGGGUCAUUGGAAACUGGGGAACUUGAGUGCAGAAGAGAAAAGCGGAAUUCCACGUGUAGCGGUGAAAUGCGUAGAGAUGUGGAGGAACACCAGUGGCGAAGGCGGCUUUUUGGUCUGUAACUGACGCUGAGGCGCGAAAGCGUGGGGAGCAAACAGGAUUAGAUACCCCUGUAGUCCCUGUCUCUUAUAC
rnacentral:rRNA from 1 species